rnacentral:lncRNA from 1 species
AGUUUAUUUCUUGAGCCUCCCUUACAGAACAAACACUCCAAAUAUCAAGGCUUUGAGCCCCAAGACAGGAGCCCUCCUGGGAGCAGCACUGGCUCCUUUCUUGCAGACAUGAGAGGACUCAGACAUUUCAGUCAUAAGGACCAUCUCAAGUAGAAAAGUGAUGCAAUUGGAUCUGAAACUCUAUUCCAGGUUCUAUGAAGAGGCAUGAAGUCUGACUACACUUGAGCAGAUCAUCAAUUACCUGACGUCUCCUAACCUCCAAUCACUUCUCUCCAAUUUUCAGACUACCUUGCCCUCUAUCCCAUAAAUAUCCCUGAGUCCCUAUUUUUGUGGAAGGGAAUUUGAGGCUCAUGCUCUCACUUCCUCGCAUGGCUGCCUUGUGAGUAAAUUCUCUCUCUGCUGC